UGGCCCACCAUUGCAACAACGGGUAACGAGGAAUUAGGGUUUGAUUUCGGAGAGGGAGCCUGAGAAACGGCUACCACAUCUACGGAUGGCAGCAGGCGCGCAAAUUACCCAAUGCAGACACUGUGAGGUAGUGACGAGAAAUAAUAAAGCGGGACUUCUGUUUCGCUAUUAUAAUGAGGAAUAACCAAAGGUCAUUCCGAUUAGCAACUGAUGGGAAAGUCUGGUGCCAGCAGCCGCGGUAAUACCAGCGUCAGUAGCAUAUAUUAAAAUUGUUGCAGUUAAAACGUCCGUAGUCUGUACGUCGUCCCAAACUCACUGCAGUCUUCCGUUUUCUUAAUUGACUAGGAAUGUCUCGUAAGCACAAGUCAACAUCUUGUGUUGAUUACGUCCCUGCUCUUUGUACACACCGCCCGUCGCUCCUACCGAUCGAGUGUUUAGGUGAAUUUGAUGGACGUAAGGAAGUCAAAUAAACCUGAGCACUAGAGAAGAGAGUCUACAUC
rnacentral:rRNA from 1 species